rnacentral:rRNA from 1 species
CCGAAACGGUGGAUCACUCGGCUCGCGGAU